rnacentral:rRNA from 1 species
CGAGUCCGAGUCUCCACGGAGACGAAGUGGCGGUCAUCCAGCUUCCUAGAAAAGCUCUAACCACGUUAAUCUUUAGUUGCCUGUACCCGAAACCGACACAGGUAGGGGGGUAGAGAAUACCAAGGGGCGCGAGAUAACUCUCUCUAAGGAACUCGGCAAAAUGACCCCGUAACUUCGGGAGAAGGGGUACCACUGAGAAGUGGUCGCAGUGAAGAGGCCCAGGCGACUGUUUACCAAAAACACAGGUCUCCGCCAAGUCGCAAGACGAAGUAUGGGGGCUGACGCCUGCCCAGUGCCGGAAGGUUAAGGAAGUGGGUUAGGGAUUCGUCCCGAAGCUGACGACUGAAGCCCCGGUGAACGGCGGCCGUAACUAUAACGGUCCUAAGGUAGCGAAAUUCCUUGUCGGGUAAGUUCCGACCCGCACGAAAGGCGUAACGAUCUGGGCGCUGUCUCGGAGAGAGGCUCGGCGAAAUAGGAUUGUCUGUGAAGAUACGGACUACCUGCACCUGGACAGAAAGACCCUAUGAAGCUUUACUGUAGCUUGGAAUUGGGUUCGGGCUUGGUUUGCGCAGGAUAGGUGGGAGGCGAAGAAGAUCUGCUUGUGGGUGAAUCUGAGCCAACGGUGAGAUACCACUCUGACCAGGCUAGAAUUCUAACUUCAACCCGUCAACCGGGGGAAGGACAGUUUCAGGUGGGCAGUUUGACUGGGGCGGUCGCCUCCUAAAAGAUAACGGAGGCGCACAAAGGUUCCCUCAGGCUGGUUGGAAAUCAGCCAACGAGUGCAAAGGCAGAAGGGAGCUUGACUGCGAGACCUACAAGUCAAGCAGGGUGGAAACACGGUCUUAGUGAUCCGACGGCACCGAGUGGAAGGGCCGUCGCUCAACGGAUAAAAGUUACUCUAGGAUAACAGGCUGAUCUCCCCCAAGAGUUCACAUCGACGGGGAGGUUUGGCACCUCGAUGUCGGCUCAUCGCAACCUGGGGCGGAAGUACGUCCCAAGGGUUGGGCUGUUCGCCCAUUAAAGCGGUACGUGAGCUGGGUUCAGAACGUCGUGAGACAGUUCGGUCCAUAUCCGGUGUAGGCGCAAGAACAUUGAGAGGAGUCUUCCUUAGUACGAGAGGACCGGGAAGAACGCACCGCUGGUGUACCUGUUAUCGUGCCAACGGUAAACGCAGGGUAGCCAGGUGCGGAGUGGAUAACCGCUGAAAGCAUCUAAGUGGGAAGCCCACCUCAAGAUGAGUGUUCUCAUGGAGUAAUCCAGUAAGGUCACGGGAAGACGACCCGUUGAUAGGCGGUAGGUGAAGUUCAGCAAUGGAUGAAGCCGAGCCGUACUAACAGACC